rnacentral:piRNA from 1 species
GGGUGGGUGCUUCGACCAGGUUGCCAU